rnacentral:rRNA from 1 species
UACAGAGGUGGCAAGCGUUGUUCGGAAUUACUGGGCGUAAAGGGCGCGUAGGCGGUCUUGUAAGUCUUGUGUGAAAUCCCCGGGCUCAACCUGGGAACUGCAUUCAAAACUGUCGAGCUAGAGUAUGGUAGAGGGUGGUGGAAUUUCCUGUGUAGCGGUGAAAUGCGUAGAUAUAGGAAGGAACACCAGUGGCGAAGGCGACCACCUGGACUGAUACUGACACUGAGGUGCGAAAGCGUGGGGAGCAAACAGG